GCUUUUCAGCUCGACUGAAUAGCCCGCAGCCAUGUCUCGAGGCCUGUCUAUUCUCUUUCAUCGUUUCUGCAGGUAUGAACAUACUCUGGACUUUUCUGAGAAAAAUCUUUCUUCAAGUGCUCCUUUUUGCAGAGGGGUAGAGUGACUUUCUAUACAGAGUUCAGUUGAUUAAUUUUUGGUAAGAAUAAUUUCAACUCAUUUUCUAUGUGAUUGGUUCAAGUACAGAGACUUGCACUCCAUAUCCUCAUCAGAGAACUUAAUUUCAAACCUUCAGCUGCCAAACUCUUAUGAAAAGUUUGAUAAGGAGAAAUAUACAUGGAACUUUACCUGAAAGGCUGAUGGCAGCGGCAAUACACUGGCACGGGACGUCGAAUCGGGGCAAGAGCUCUGCCUCCGAGGUCCCUUCUGGAGCCUGGUGCUCGACCUCGUCUGCCGCGCCCCUGCAGACGGUUUGGCCGUUGAGCGGACCCCUGGCUUUGCUCCGUCUGCUGGAGUCAGAGGCGGACUCGCCACCCACGACCAGCGACGGAGCGAGACCUUCCGCGGUCUUCCCUUCGCACGUCUCUCCCGCGACGUGCUGCGCGUUUUCCUAACCGGGUAGGCUUUUUGGAAGAAGGGAGAGGAAGCAGGUACAGACAGCGGGGAAAGGGUAGCAGAGAGGCAGAGGAGAGCAGGGAGGAUGGAGCCCUUUCACGGGGGACACAGACCUAGAAAAGCUCAACGGUGAAGACAGCCCCGUCCUGACUUGAGACGACGGAUCCCGAUUUAACGUGACGUUUAGAUGUAACUAGCAAAACACUCCAUUCCUUGGCAAGCUGCUGUUUUGCAGACUCCAAGUCAGGGCUGAGCAGUGUCUAAGGUGGACCAAACCGAGUCCACAGGGAAGCAGUGCUGAGGGAUAGUCUGCAGUUGACUCUCAGAGACGGUGACACCGAUGUCCGAAAGGGGCGAAAGGGGCGUGUUUCUUCCCACGCAGGUAACGUCACCACGUGGGGGUCACGAAUAGACCUCUGGAGAAACCAGACUGCGGUCAGCAGCUGCGGGGGUUGCUGAAACUCAGCUUUCGCUGUGCUGGGAGUCCCUGUCCUCGAGCUCGGCUCAGUUAGCAAGUCACUGCAAUUCAAGGCAAUGAAUGCGACAGCUGAGUUACAUGCAUAUAUGUGACGAGGUAAUUCUGCCUGAGAAUCCAGAAUAUCUUUGCAGACGGAGCCUUUGACGGGAGGCUUAACAAGGGAGGGUCUUCGAGGAGAGCGGAAGGGAGGAACCUGUGCCCAAAAGAUGAGCAGGCAUCCAAGGGUGUGGUUGUUGGGACGACCUCCUGGCUCCUCUCGGACCACGUCCCCGCCUGGGAACAGGCGCAGAUGCGCGUCCUGAGCCCGAGUGCACCAGGCUUCCGGAAGAGCUGGAGGUGAGAGCAGCUCACCUUCUUUCGCCUCAUCACCAAUUUUCCUUCUCGCAAACAAGCUUCCUGUGUGGGCUUCCUCCCUUCCACCCUCUUAGGUUCUCUUACUACUCACUUAUUGGCUGAAUAAUUCGGAGUUAUAAUCAACAAAUUAGAGGCUAAUUUAAAUGUUUGGCUUCAUCCAAAGUUGA
rnacentral:lncRNA from 1 species